UACGUAGGGUGCAAGCGUUAAUCGGAAUUACUGGGCGUAAAGCGUGCGCAGGCGGUUAUGCAAGGCAGAUGUUAAAUCCCCGGGCUUAACCUGGGAACCGCAUUUGUGACUGCAUAGCUGGAGUACGGCAGAGGGGGAUGGAAUUCCGCGUGUAGCAGUGAAAUGCGUAGAUAUGCGGAGGAACACCGAUGGCGAAGGCAGUCCCCUGGGCCUGUACUGACGCUCAUGCACGAAAGCGUGGGGAGCAAACAGG
rnacentral:rRNA from 1 species